GACGAACGCUGGCGGCGUGCUUAACACAUGCAAGUCGAACGGAAAGGCCCUGCUUUUGUGGGGUGCUCGAGUGGCGAACGGGUGAGUAACACGUGAGUAACCUGCCCUUGACUUUGGGAUAACUUCAGGCAACUGGGGCUAAUACCGGAUAGGAGCUCCUGCUGCAUGGUGGGGGUUGGAAAGUUUCGGCGGUUGGGGAUGGACUCGCGGCUUAUCAGCUUGUUGGUGGGGUAGUGGCUUACCAAGGCUUUGACGGGUAGCCGGCCUGAGAGGGUGACCGGCCACAUUGGGACUGAGAUACAGCCCAGACUCCUACGGGAGGCAGCAGUGGGGAAUAUUGCACAAUGGGCGGAAGCCUGAUGCAGCAACGCCGCGUGCGGGAUGACGGCCUUCGGGUUGUAAACCGCUUUCGCCUGUGACGAAGCGUGAGUGACGGUAAUGGGUAAAGAAGCACCGGCUAACUACGUG
rnacentral:rRNA from 1 species